ACUGCACUUGGUGGGUCAGAGGGCCCAUUCAUCGCAGAAGGUGCUGGCACCCGACUCCAGUACUCUUGCCUGGAAAAUCCCAUGGACGGAGGAGCCUGGUGGGCUGCAGUCCAUGGGGUCGCUAAGAGUCGGACACGACUGAGCGACUUCACUUUCACUUUUCACUUUCAUGCAUUGGAGAAGGAAAUGGCAACCCACUCCAGUGUUCUUGCCUGGAGAAUCCCAGGGACGGGGGAGCCUGGUGGGCUGCCAUCUCUGGGGUCGCACAGAGUCGGACAUGACUGAAGCGACUUGGCAGCAGGGCCCAUUCACGUGUUCCCAGGCCCCUGUGUGCCAGGCACUACAUGUGGUCACUGUGGUACCAAGGUGCGCUUCUGCCUUGUUCUAACGAUUCAUGGAUGGUUUCAUUCUUUUCCAAAUUAAAACAAAUCCAUGCAUGUGUUGUUACAUAGUUUUGCUUUAAAAUUUAUAUAGGUCUGUGGUGGAAAAUGUGCUUAUCAAUUUUAUGAAACUAAUAAGCUAAAACAAAUGCAUCAUAUUUUAGCUAAAAUUUGUUCCCUUACAUACGAAGAGUCAUUGUUCUACUCUUUUCAUUGGUGGCUGCCACAGGAAAAACUGAAAAAAUGUGACUUCUACCCAUGUUCAAAAAGCAGACAGACCAAGAAUCUCGUGCCUUGUCUGGAAAAAACCCACAGAUUCAAAGAGAAGUGCAUUGAAGAUGCUGCUCUCCUGUUCCCUCCUUGGAUUGACCUACCCCGUGACUGAAUUUUGCAAUGAAUCCUUAUCAGGUUGUUAUACACCAUUGCAACUGGGCACCUUAAAAUUAGAUGGAAAGAACAGAGGAUGUUGCCAGAGGAUGUGCUGACUGGAUAAAAAGUAGGUUCUACCUUGUUUCAUUUUUUUUUUCUGAGCAUAGAAGCCACUUUAAAAGUUUGCAAGUCUUUAAAACAUUAGCUCCAGAUGUUUUGAAUGUGCUAAGGUGAGCAAGUGCAGUGAAAACCAUAAAACACUGUGUGAAGGCGAUUCUGAUGUGCUAUUACAUUAAAGAAAGUAGAUGGAAGUUCAGGAACAUACUGGCAAGAAACCCAAAAAGCCAAGUUUUCUACCGACUGGUUCUGAAAGGCUGGAUAAGUCAUGAUCUUCCUUGCGUCUAAAGAUGCCUACAGACUUCGGAUCAAAAUUUGUUAUCAAUUAGUGUUACCACUCUGAAUUGACAUAAUUUUGACCGGUGUCAAAGGAACAGUGUUUUAUUUAGUUCAUCCAAAAUAGAUAAAUGGGCAAUGUCUAUAAGACAUAUGGGGAUUGAAAAUAGUUCAUAGACUUCCCAUGACUACCUUGGAAGGUGGCAUGUAUAGUGAUUAAAAUAUCUAGGUUGCUUGGGUUCAAAUCAAUCAGCGAUUUACUAAUGGAAUGACCCUGUAAAAGCUUCCUCAUAUCUCUCUGCAUUUAUCUCCUCCUCAUUUUAGAAUGAAGAAUCCCAAAGCUCAUAGUUUUAUUGUAAAGGAUUAAAAAUUUUGUGCAUGUAACAUAUAUGGAAUUUCUGAAGACAGUAAGCACAUAAUAAAUGUUUGUUAUUAUUUUAUCCA
ensembl:lncRNA